UCGAGCGAACAGAUGAGAAGCUUGCUUCUCUGAUGUUAGCGGCGGACGGGUGAGUAACACGUGGGUAACCUACCUAUAAGACUGGGAUAACUCCGGGAAACCGGGGCUAAUACCGGAUAAUAUUUUGAACCGCAUGGUUCAAUAGUGAAAGACGGUUUCGGCUGUCACUUAUAGAUGGACCCGCGCCGUAUUAGCUAGUUGGUAAGGUAACGGCUUACCAAGGCGACGAUACGUAGCCGACCUGAGAGGGUGAUCGGCCACACUGGAACUGAGACACGGUCCAGACUCCUACGGGAGGCAGCAGUAGGGAAUCUUCCGCAAUGGGCGAAAGCCUGACGGAGCAACGCCGCGUGAGUGAUGAAGGUCUUCGGAUCGUAAAACUCUGUUGUUAGGGAAGAACAAAUUUGUUAGUAACUGAACAAGUCUUGACGGUACCUAACCAGAAAGCCACGGCUAACUACGUGCCAGCAGCCGCGGUAAUACGUAGGUGGCAAGCGUUAUCCGGAAUUAUUGGGCGUAAAGCGCGCGUAGGCGGUUUCUUAAGUCUGAUGUGAAAGCCCACGGCUCAACCGUGGAGGGUCAUUGGAAACUGGGAAACUUGAGUGCAGAAGAGGAGAGUGGAAUUCCAUGUGUAGCGGUGAAAUGCGCAGAGAUAUGGAGGAACACCAGUGGCGAAGGCGGCUCUCUGGUCUGUAACUGACGCUGAUGUGCGAAAGCGUGGGGAUCAAACAGGAUUAGAUACCCUGGUAGUCCACGCCGUAAACGAUGAGUGCUAAGUGUUAGGGGGUUUCCGCCCCUUAGUGCUGCAGCUAACGCAUUAAGCACUCCGCCUGGGGAGUACGACCGCAAGGUUGAAACUCAAAGGAAUUGACGGGGACCCGCACAAGCGGUGGAGCAUGUGGUUUAAUUCGAAGCAACGCGAAGAACCUUACCAAAUCUUGACAUCCUUUGACCGCUCUAGAGAUAGAGUCUUCCCCUUCGGGGGACAAAGUGACAGGUGGUGCAUGGUUGUCGUCAGCUCGUGUCGUGAGAUGUUGGGUUAAGUCCCGCAACGAGCGCAACCCUUAAGCUUAGUUGCCAUCAUUAAGUUGGGCACUCUAGGUUGACUGCCGGUGACAAACCGGAGGAAGGUGGGGAUGACGUCAAAUCAUCAUGCCCCUUAUGAUUUGGGCUACACACGUGCUACAAUGGAUAAUACAAAGGGCAGCGAAUCCGCGAGGCCAAGCAAAUCCCAUAAAAUUAUUCUCAGUUCGGAUUGUAGUCUGCAACUCGACUACAUGAAGCUGGAAUCGCUAGUAAUCGUAGAUCAGCAUGCUACGGUGAAUACGUUCCCGGGUCUUGUACACACCGCCCGUCACACCACGAGAGUUUGUAACACCCGAAGCCGGUGGAGU
rnacentral:rRNA from 2 species